AACGAACGCUGGCGGCAUGCCUAACACAUGCAAGUCGAACGAAGCCUUCGGGCUUAGUGGCGCACGGGUGCGUAACGCGUGGGAAUCUGCCCUUUGGUUCGGAAUAACAGUUGGAAACGACUGCUAAUACCGGAUGAUGACGAAAGUCCAAAGAUUUAUCGCCAGAGGAUGAGCCCGCGUAGGAUUAGCUAGUUGGUGUGGUAAAGGCGCACCAAGGCGACGAUCCUUAGCUGGACUGAGAGGAUGAACAGCCACACUGGGACUGAGGCACGGCCCAGACUCCUACGGGAGGCAGCAGUGGGGAAUAUUGGACAAUGGGCGAAAGCCUGAUCCAGCAAUGCCGCGUGAGUGAUGAAGGCCCUAGGGUUGUAAAGCUCUUUUACCCGGGAUGAUAAUGACAGUACCGGGAGAAUAAGCCCCGGCUAACUCCGUGCCAGCAGCCGCCGUAA
rnacentral:rRNA from 1 species